CGUACACUCCUGCGGGAGGCAGCAGUGGGGAAUAUUGCACAAUGGGCGCAAGCCUGAUGCAGCCAUGCCGCGUGUAUGAAGAAGGCCUUCGGGUUGUAAAGUACUUUCAGCGGGGAGGAAGGCAAUACGGUUAAUAACCGUGUUGAUUGACGUUACCCGCAGAAGAAGCACCGGCUAACUCCGUGCCAGCAGCCGCGGUAAUACGGAGGGUGCAAGCGUUAAUCGGAAUUACUGGGCGUAAAGCGCACGCAGGCGGUCUGUCAAGUCGGAUGUGAAAUCCCCGGGCUCAACCUGGGAACUGCAUUCGAAACUGGCAGGCUUGAGUCUUGUAGAGGGGGGUAGAAUUCCAGGUGUAGCGGUGAAAUGCGUAGAGAUCUGGAGGAAUACCGGUGGCGAAGGCGGCCCCCUGGACAAAGACUGACGCUCAGGUGCGAAAGCGUGGGGAGCAAACAGGAUUAGAAACCCCUGUAGUCCCAUGAC
rnacentral:rRNA from 1 species